ACCCGCUCGCUCUCUCCCACUGCUGCUCAGGAGGGAAGACUGGAGAGCCUUUGCUCCAAAGGAUAUUUGCUGGAUGUUGCUGUGAGUGGGGGAGAGACAGAAGAAAACCCUCAGAAUGGAGGAAGAGGAAUACGAGGAAGUUGUGGAGUACUACAUUGAGGAGACAGUUAUUGAGGAGGGUGAGCCACAUGAGGUAAAGGUCCCUGUCAUUAUUCAUAUACUGUC